AAUGAAGUCGAACAUGCAAUUAACAAGUAAUUUGAUAAUGUUAUUAGGUAAUUGAAGAAUCGGCACCCAAACCUAAGGUUGAUGGGCAAAUUAAGGUAAGUAAUCUGUCUUAAUCUUAUUAUGGAUCAUGUAUCAUGUUUUAUAAGAUGAAAAAGUAUUAUUUAUGCAAUUGGAAAUGUGUAUAUGAAUUGUGGAAAAAGUAACCCUGAUAUAAUCUUAUGUUAUAUCAAAUACUUGUGACUACUCGAUUAUGAAAUUAUAUAUGAUUAUUUAUGUUUUCAUAAAAUUAGGAUCAAGCAUGUGUUAGCAAAUGAUUACAUGAUUUUGGGUCAUAAUUAUUAUUAUAUUGUAUACACAUGAUUAUGAUGAUGUAGAAAGAUGCAUAGAAAAAUAAAGUUUUCAGCAUAAUUAUGAGUUUGAUUUAGCAUGAUGCCAUUAUUCACUUUCCAAAGUAUCUAUGAGAAAAGAUUUAUGAAAAGCAUGAUAUGUUUUAAAGACUCUCAGAUCGCUAUGCACGACCCCCGCCAGUAGGUAACAGUAACUAGGCAUAUGACCCCCGCCAGUGGGUAAAAGUAACUUGGCUUUACGACCCCCGCCAAUGGGUAAUAGUAACUCGAAGAUAACCCUACAGUGGUAAAGGCCUUGCUGUGGGAAUAAGAGUAGCCAUAGCUACACUACCAUCUGAGAGUAUGAAUUUCAAAGUAUGGAAUAAUGGUAAAAGUUUUAUGAUGUAUAAAUGGCAAAAGUUUUAUGAUGCAUAAAUGGCAAAAGCUUUAUGAUGCAUAAAUGACAAAAGUUUUAUGAUGCAUAAAUGGCAAAAGUUUUAUGAUGCAUAAAUGGCAAAAGUUUUAUGAUGCAUAAUUAUAUUUAUGAAGUUGUAUGAAUGGACAGGCAUAGUUUUAUAACUAGUUUGAUUAUGGCAAAAGUUUG
rnacentral:lncRNA from 1 species